UUUUGCAAAGCCAUGAAAUCUGAUGUCCAAGAGUAAUUUUGCAGGACUUUCCUUAUGUUUGGCGUUGGUUUUAAAGGUGUUUCGUAUCAACUUUAAAUCGUGUUGUCGAUUGAGUUUCAGUUAGAGAGAAUGAAACUGUUUUGAAUCCCAAAUAUUUUGAUUGGAGAUAACUUUGUUUUGAUGGCAGAAGAGGUCUCAAGCACAAAUAAUGCAUCAAAACCUCAUCUUUCACCGCAGAUCACUUGAUCGCUGACAUGUGGGAAGUUCAUUCACUUUGGACAUAGUAUGAAUGAGCCCAAAAUUGUAGUAGCUGACUCUCAAUCACUCUACAACUUCAGUAAUUUUGUAAGUACUUUUAGCUAAUAUUCACCUUCUUCCAGUCAGAAAUAGUAGAUCUCAAUUGAAGGAUCUCUCUUCUACAUAUAUCCUUUGAUAUGUAAUUGAAGGAUAAAGAUAAAUUUUUAUAGAGUUGUCAGGAACUCCUAGCUUACGGAAUUGGGAAUCUCAAAUACCGGGAUCCGACCCAAGAUUGUGUACAUGAUUGGUUAAAUGCGAAGUAGAUGAAUACAACUAUAAAUCGGGUGCAAGAAAUAAUGUAAACAUAAAAAACACACUACAACCCUACAUGAUUUACGUGGUUCACCCUGUAUGGCUGCAUCCACGACCUCGGCAACUAAAAAUCUAUUAUCACAACGAAGAUUACAGUUUUUGGUUACGAGAGAUAUGUCUCUCUUUAAACAUCGGUAAAAACCCCCUACUAAUCUUCCCGUCAAAACCCGCUCUCCCAAUCGAGCAACACCGUCGAUCUAUAUCUUCUUUUCCACAACAAUACCACUACUGGAAAGAUAAUUUCGAGAGCAACCAAAAUACUUUUUCUCUCUAGAAUGGA
rnacentral:lncRNA from 1 species